GCGGGAGUGGUGGAAUUGGUAGACACGCUGGAUUUAGGUUCCAGUGCCGCAAGGCGUGAGAGUUCGAGUCUCUCCUUCCGCA
rnacentral:tRNA from 2 species